rnacentral:rRNA from 1 species
GUCGUGAAUCUUCCGCAAUGGGGGAAACCCUGACGGAGCGACGCCGCGUGCAGGAUGAAGGCCUUCGGGUUGUAAACUGCUGUUACACGUUAUGAACCAACGCGGACUAAUACUCCGCGUCCUGACAAAGGCGUGAGAGGAAGCCACGGCUAACUUCGUGCCAGCAGCCGCGGUAAGACGAAGGUGGCAAGCGUUGUUCGGAAUUACUGGGCAUAAAGCGCAUGUAGGCGGCGACGUAAGCGGGGGAUGAAAUCCCAUGGCUCACCCAUGGAAGCGUCUUCUGUACUGCGUUGCUUGAGGUCGGUAGGGGAGAGUGGAAUUCCUGGUGUAGCGGUGAAAUGCGUAGAUAUCAGGAGGAACGCCGGUGGCGAAAGCGACUCUCUGGUCCGAUCCUGACGCUGAUGUGCGAAAGCUAGGGGAGCAAACAGGAUUAGAUACCCGAGUAGUCC